rnacentral:rRNA from 1 species
CCUACGGGAGGCAGCAGUAAGGAAUAUUGGUCAAUGGACGCAAGUCUGAACCAGCCAUGCCGCGUGAAGGAUGAAGGUCCUCUGGAUUGUAAACUUCUUUUAUAGGGGACGAAAAAAGGGCAUUCUUGCUCACUUGACGGUACCCUAGGAAUAAGCACCGGCUAACUCCGUGCCAGCAGCCGCGGUAAUACGGAGGGUGCAAGCGUUAUCCGGAUUUACUGGGUUUAAAGGGUGCGUAGGUGGGUCUGUAAGUCAGUGGUGAAAUCUCCGGGCUUAACCCGGAAACUGCCAUUGAUACUAUAGGUCUUGAAUACUCUGGAGGUAAGCGGAAUAUGUCAUGUAGCGGUGAAAUGCUUAGAUAUGACAUAGAACACCAAUUGCGAAGGCAGCUUACUACGGGGUUAUUGACACUGAGGCACGAAAGCGUGGGGAUCAAACAGGAUUAGAUACCCUGGUAGUCCACGCCUAAACGAUGGAUACUCGACAUCAGCGAUACACUGUUGGUGUCUGNGAGAAGANAUAGUAUCCACCGAGGAGACGACGCGAAGUAGUAAGUUAGAAAGUAAGUUAGAGCGNGAGAGNGCGACGACGACGACGAGGAGGAGG